rnacentral:rRNA from 1 species
UACGUAGGUGGCAAGCGUUGUCCGGAUUUACUGGGCGUAAAGGGAGCGUAGGCGGAUACUUAAGUGGGAUGUGAAAUACCUGGGCUUAACUUGGGUGCUGCAUUCCAAACUGGGUGUCUAGAGUGUUGGAGAGGAAAGUGGAAUUCCUAGUGUAGCGGUGAAAUGCGUAGAGAUUAGGAAGAACACCAGUGGCGAAGGCGACUUUCUGGACAAUAACUGACGCUGAGGCUCGAAAGCGUGGGGAGCAAACAGGAUUAGAUACCCUGGUAGUCCACGCCGUAAACGAUGGGUACUAGGUGUAGGGGGGAUCGACUCCCCCUGUGCCGCCGUUAACACAAUAAGUACCCCGCCUGGGGAGUACGGUCGCAAGAUUAAA